ACCUUUGCUCAUUGACGUUACCCGCAGAAGAAGCACCGGCUAACUCCGUGCCAGCAGCCGCGGUAAUACGGAGGGUGCAAGCGUUAAUCGGAAUUACUGGGCGUAAAGCGCACGCAGGCGGUUUGUUAAGUCAGAUGUGAAAUCCCCGGGCUCAACCUGGGAACUGCAUCUGAUACUGGCAAGCUUGAGUCUCGUAGAGGGGGGUAGAAUUCCAGGUGUAGCGGUGAAAUGCGUAGAGAUCUGGAGGAAUACCGGUGGCGAAGGCGGCCCCCUGGACGAAGACUGACGCUCAGGUGCGAAAGCGUGGGGAGCAAACAGGAUUAGAUACCCUGGUAGUCCACGCCGUAAACGAUGUCGACUUGGAGGUUGUGCCCUUGAGGCGUGGCUUCCGGAGCUAACGCGUUAAGUCGACCGCCUGGGGAGUACGGCCGCAAGGUUAAAACUCAAAUGAAUUGACGGGGGCCCGCACAAGCGGUGGAGCAUGUGGUUUAAUUCGAUGCAACGCGAAGAACCUUACCUGGUCUUGACAUCCACGGAAGUUUUCAGAGAUGAGAAUGUGCCUUCGGGAACCGUGAGACAGGUGCUGCAUGGCUGUCGUCAGCUCGUGUUGUGAAAUGUUGGGUUAAGUCCCGCAACGAGCGCAACCCUUAUCCUUUGUUGCCAGCGGUCCGGCCGGGAACUCAAAGGAGACUGCCAGUGAUAAACUGGAGGAAGGUGGGGACGACGUCAAGUCAUCAUGGCCCUUACGACCAGGGCUACACACGUGCUACAAUGGCGCAUACAAAGAGAAGCGACCUCGCGAGAGCAAGCGGACCUCAUAAAGUGCGUCGUAGUCCGGAUUGGAGUCUGCAACUCGACUCCAUGAAGUCGGAAUCGCUAGUAAUCGUGGAUCAGAAUGCCACGGUGAAUACGUUCCCGGGCCUUGUACACACCGCCCGUCACACCAUGGGAGUGGGUUGCAAAAGAAGUAGGUAGCUUAACCUUCGGGAGGGCGCUUACCACUUUGUGAUUCAUGACUGGGGUGAAGUCGUAACAAGGUAACCGUAGGGGAACCUGCGGUUGGAUCACCUCCUUACCUUAAAGAAGC
rnacentral:rRNA from 1 species